CAAAGGAGCGUUGUCAGUAAGAGUUGAUACCUCUGCCGAGUGAAAUGCGGUUUUCAUCCAUGCAGUCAUGAGGCUCAUCUUGGUGUCUUUGUGUUUCUCUGUGAUUGUUGUUGUCGGAACUCCAGCUCAAAACGGUGACAAUAAAAAUGGAGGUGGAGGUGUUGGAGGAAGAAUUGGACAAGCAGUAGAUUGGUCAAAAACCCAGGGUCAAAGAAUCAAGAACGCCAAUAUCGUGGAGCGAGUUAAAGAUCAAAUUCCAGGCAGGCCCAAAAAAACAGAGACUGAACAACAAACAGGAUCAAAGCACCCUCGUGUUUCGUGCAUCCAGUACUGUGCUAGUCUUUUCGGUUUCGUCUUCGAAUCGUUUUCAGCGGACAAGGUUCUGAGAUUUUCUGAGGGUAUUGUCAUUCCUGUUACCAAAGGGAUAGAAGUCGAGGGGACCCAAACAAACCAGGAAAAUCAUUCAAUUUUGGUCAACGGGCACAAACGCAUACCUGCGCAUUGUAAAUGCGAGGCAACGGAGGGAUUCUCCCGUUUUCUGGCAGACAACGAAUUGGAUGUUGAAAUCUUUAAUCAUUUUAAAAGAUUUAACAAGAUACAGGAUGCUGUGAAUUAUAUAUACGACGGCACCGCCCAGCUGAACGAAAAGUACGGGGCAAAGUCUUUCACAUACGUUGAUCAUCGAGGCUUGAUGACGUUGAUGCUCGCUGAGAUGCAAAAAGUGAAAGUAUACGAUCCUGAUCGAUGGAUGUACCCUGAGAGAUCCGCAAUAAAUAUAGCGUAAUACUUGAUUGGUUUCUGUUCGAACAGGUUUGAGGAUCAAAAAUAUUCACCCGAGUCUCUCACGAAAUAGCUGUAUGAAAGAAUUUACUGCUAGAGCUACAGGUUCAAAUGAAGUCAAGCUAACAAUUUAAACACUUAAAAUUCUGCUAAAUGUGUCAAAUUCAUCACAUUCAAAGUUGGGAGUGACUUUGUUUGCCCUCGAUGCUCAGUUCCCUAAAUGUAUGUUGCUCAUUAGGAUUUCGCUUAUUCAUGUAAUAAAUCUAUUUCUUUGCCUGAGAGUCCUGAUAAGAGUAAAUCAUGUGAAAAAAAUCAUAUAGUGGAAUUUCAGGAUUUUAAUUUGCUAUUUUGGAUAUUUUUCAAUCCUUUUGGUCAGUCAUUGUCAAUACUAUAUCGUGAAGCGCCCACUGUUUCAUAGCCAAAGAGGCGUAGCCAUGUUUCCCUCCAUUAGUUUAGCUUUUACUCUCGGUUUUUGAGCAUUUUUUACCAUAUGACGCAUAUUCAUGGUAUCACGAUUUCUUUUGAAAAUAUUUUUUCAUAUCAAUGUUUGAUUUCGUUCAGAUAUUUUUUGUGAAUAUUCUUCGUGCCGAUUUAAAUAUUGACGGCUAAAGAGCGGAACCUCGUAUCUCAAUUGCGGUGUUUCAAAAUUUCCGCUCCUUUUGAAUUUUUUAAAAGAGAAACAAGCCAAAUUUGUAGCUUUCUACUGACGGAAAAGAAAAAUCAAGAAAGUUUUCAAGAAAUUGCGAUGACUUGCUUUCCAAAAAAAAAAAAAAAAAAAAAAAAAACAGGGUCCGACAGAAAGUCUGCAACGUUGCAGACAGACAUACCAGUGGCGUGGCGUGCUUUGCGAUAUAUCGAUUGAUACGCCACUCAAACCUAUGAAAAAAGAUCGAUUAUCAGGGUGUUCGCAGCGAACACCUAAGUAAUCGAUUCUUUGCCAUGGUUUCAAAUGGCGAGAUAUCGAUAAUCGAUCUUUCACGCCACGCCACUGAGACAUACGUGGUUUCUCUCUUUGGCUAUCGAUAUGUAGAUUCAAAUUGACAACAAAGGCGCAAACUCAAUCUCCGUUCGAAGUUUAUAUAGUCAGAUGUUACUUUAUAUUUGAUCGUAUAAGCACGAAAAUAUAUUAGCCCGAAUAAUGUUGUCCAUUUAAUGUUUUAGCCUUAUUUACCCAAUUAAUUCUCUCCCUAUUAAUUUGAAGGUACUUAUCAUUAAUCGAAAAAUUAGCUCUUUUUGGCGUGUCACCUUCGCGUAAAAAUUCAUACAUCUCAACUUUAGGGAAAGUUCUAAAUUACGAGUUAUGAGUUUUUAAAGCAUUAAAUUGCUUGAUAUUCAGCAUUUGAUUAUUUCAUUUGAUCUCUGAGAUAAUCAAAAGCCUAGGAUUUUAUAUUUGACUGUAGUAGUUAGUAAGAUUCUGUAUCAUAGUAAAGGUUGAAUUUCUUCUCCUCCCACCAAAAGCGUUGUCUUUGGUUCUGGUAUAAAAUCAACGAUAUUUGUAUCUAUCUAUGAUCAGUGUGUUAUGUAUAUCCUCUUCACCGAACCUGCACGACGUCAAAUCGAUUAAAAUGGUUGUGUGUGUCCAUUUAUUGUCUUACUUUGUUAACAAUUAUUUUCCAUUUUCCUCGUUUAAUCGCUUAAGAUUUCCAAUUCACUCGCUGAGAGUUCAGCUCUGAAUCAAAAAGAACUUACUAAACUAUCGGUCUGUCAAACUAAGGUUUUCCAUGCGUGUGGUGAUUUUAAAGUCAUUCCUGGUGUGAUCUUGUUCAAUGUGAUCUCAAAGAAUAAAUAUGUUGAAUUCACGGUGAAAAGCAGCUUGAAUGAUUAACUGGAAUUGAAUACUGUCGGCAUGAGAGCAAAAUUUAUCCAAAGAUCAGUAAGAUCGCAGCACAGGAUUUGCUCCUCUUUUUGU
rnacentral:lncRNA from 1 species